rnacentral:miRNA from 1 species
UGAUGAUGAUGAUGACGACGACGAUGACAAUGACGACGACGACGAUGCUAUUCUUGUCAUUGUUGUCAUAGUCACCGUCUUUGUCGUAUUGA